UACAGAGGUCUCAAGCGUUGUUCGGAUUCAUUGGGCGUAAAGGGUGCGUAGGCGGCGCGGUAAGUCGGGUGUGAAAUCUCGGGGCUCAACCCCGAAACUGCACUUGAUACUGCUUUGCUCGAGUACUGGAGAGGAGACUGGAAUUUACGGUGUAGCAGUGAAAUGCGUAGAUAUCGUAAGGAAGACCAGUGGCGAAGGCGAGUCUCUGGACAGUUACUGACACUGAGGCACGAAGGCCAGGGGAGCAAACGGG
rnacentral:rRNA from 1 species